ACUUAGCUAAACAGUAUAGCAUCUCCCUUACACCGAGAAGUCACCCGUGCGAACCGGGUAGCCCUGACUAGCCUAAUAGCUAGCCCGCCCAGACAAUUACAACACUCAGU
rnacentral:rRNA from 1 species